AHCAGGGAAUAGUUUAAAUUUAGUAAUAUCAGCUUUGGGAGUUGAAGGUGGAAUGUUGAUUUCUUCCCUGAGAUU
rnacentral:tRNA from 1 species